AAAAAUUAAAUUUGCUAAGUAACCAAAAACACCUUUUAUUUCUUUCUUUCUCUUCCUAUUUCUCUCAAUUCUCUUUCUACAAAACUAUUUUUUUUUUUGGCUAUUACACAAAUAAUCUCUAAAUAUUAAAGUGUUAUACGACUUAUCAUACUUCUUUUUUUUUUAUCAAAUACACGGCUUAUCAUAGUAUAAAAUAAAGGGAAAUUAGGCUGUAUAACCUUCAAACAAAUUAUAAUUCACCUACUAUCUAAAAGACCUAAUUUAUC
rnacentral:lncRNA from 1 species